rnacentral:lncRNA from 1 species
AGUGUUGGGAUCUCCUGGGAUGAGUGUUGGGAUCUCCUGGAUGAGCCCCCGGCCUCGCUGGGCCAGACCAGACGAGCCCUGGGCUACCACGGACCACCCUGGAUCAACCUGGGGCUGAUGGGACGGGCUUCGGGUCAGCCUGGACGAGCCUUGGGAUGUGCUGGAUGAGCCUUGGGAUGUGCUGGACGAGCCUUGGGCGACUCCGGACCACGCUGGACGUGCCACAGGUUCCCUCUGGACGAGCCUUGGGCCACACUGGAUCACACUGGACGUGCCUCAGGUCCCUCUGGAAGUGCCUUGGGCCACCCUGGACCACACUGGAUGUGCCUCAGGUCCCUCUGGAUGAGCCUUGGGCCACCCUGGCCAAGGCUUGGGCUACUCUGGACCACGCUGGAUGUGCCUCAGGUCCUACUGGCCAAGCCCUGGGCCACCCUGGCCAAGGUUUGGACAACCCUGGCCAAGGCUUGGGCCACCCUGGAUCACACUGGACAUGCCUCAGGUCCCACUGGAUGAGCCUUGGACCACCCUGGACAAGCCUUGGGCCACCCUGGACAAGCCUUGGGCCACACUGGAUCACACUGGACGUGCCUCAGGUCCCUCUGGAUGAGCCUUGGGCCACACUGGACCACGCUGGAUGUGCCUGAAGUCCCACUGGAAGCGCCUUGGACCACCCUGGCCAAGGCUUGGGCGACUCUGGAUCACGCUGGACGUGCCUUAGGUCCCUCUGGAAGUGCCUUGGACCACCCUGGCCAAGGCUUGGGCCACCCUGGCCAAGGUUUGGACCACCCUGGCCACCCUGAGGAUGUGCCUCAGGUCCCUCUGGACGAGCCUUGGGCCACACUGGAUCGUGCUGGAUGUGCCACAGGUCCCUCUGGAUGAGCCUUGGGUGACUCUGGAUCAUGCUGGAUGUGCCACAGGUCCCUUUGGAUGAGCCUUGGACCACCCUGGAUGUGCCUCAGGUCCCACUGGACGAGCCUUGGAUCACGCUGGACAUGCCUCAGGUCCCUCUGGAGAAGCCUUGGGUGACUCUGGAUCAUGCUGGAUGUGCCUCAGGUCCCUCUGGAUGAGCCUUGGACCACACUGGACGUGCCUCAGGUCCCACUGGACGAGCCUUGGGCCACCCCGGACAAGCCUUGGGCCACCCUGGAUGUGCCUCAGGUCCCACUGGAUGAGCCUUGGGUGACUCUGGACAAGCCUUGGGCCACACUGGACGUGCCUCAGGUCCCACCAGACGUGCCUCAGGUCCCUCUGGACGAGCCUUGGGUGACUCUGGAUCACGCUGGAUGUGCCUCAGGUCCCACUGGAGAAGCCCUGGGUGACUCUGGAUCACGCUGGAUGUGCCUCAGGUCCCUCUGGACGAGCCUUGGACCACCCUGGACGUGCCUCAGGUCCCUCUGGAGAAGCCUUGGGUGACUGGAUCACCCUGGAUGUGCCUCAGGUCCCACCAGACAAGCCUUAGACCACACUGGACCACGUUGGAUGUGCCUGAAGUCCCUCUGGAAGCACCUUGGACCACCCUGGCCAAGGCUUG